GACGAACGCUGGCGGCGUGCUUAACACAUGCAAGUCGAACGGUGAAGCCCUGCGGGUUGGAUCAGUGGCGAACGGGUGAGUAACACGUGAGCAACCUGCCCCUGGCUCUGGGACAACCACUGGAAACGGUGGCUAAUACCGGAUACGACCCGCCUCGCCUUCGAGUGGGGGUGGAAAGUUUUUCGGCUGGGGAUGGGCUCGCGGCCUAUCAGCUUGUUGGUGAGGUGAAGGCUCACCAAGGCGACGACGGGUAGCCGGCCUGAGAGGGCGACCGGCCACACUGGGACUGAGACACGGCCCAGACUCCUACGGGAGGCAGCAGUGGGGAAUAUUGCACAAUGGGCGAAAGCCUGAUGCAGCGACGCCGCGUGAGGGAUGACGGCCUUCGGGUUGUAAACCUCUUUCAGCUCCGAAGAAGCGAGAGUGACGGUAGGGGCAGAAGAAGCACCGGCUAACUACGUG
rnacentral:rRNA from 1 species